ensembl:lncRNA
CCCCCCCCCCCCCCCCCCCCCCCCCCCCCCCCCCCCCCCCCCCCCCCCCCCCCCCCCCCCCCCCCCCCCCCCCCCCCCCCCCAAAUUAACAUAUAAAUAAAAAUAUAAAAAGAAAAAAGAAAAAAUGCAUUUUAAAAAAAUUUAAAAAGUGGUUUCAGUGUCAUAAAAAAGUCUGAAUGUGAAGAAAAAAUUGAUGAUUUAAUGGCCCCAGUGCAGGAAAAAAUUAAAAUAAAUGACAAAAAAAUCACACACAAAAAAAAAAGACGAUUCCAUUAUUCACAGCUCAGCCUCAAACUAAACCCAUGAACCAAUGAGGAAAGGUGGGAAAAAAAAUUCCAAAUUCAUCCUGAUCCCAGGGAAAAUCAUCCUGAUCCCAAUCCCAGGAAAAAUCAUCCCAAUCCCAAUCCUGAUCCCAGAAAAAAUCAUCCCAAUCCCAGGAAAAAUCAUCCCCAUCCCAAUCCUGAUCCCAGGAAAAGUCACCCUGAUCCCAAUCCCGAUCCCAAUCCCCGGGAAAGGAUUUUGAUCCUGAUCCCAGGAAAAAUCAUCCCAAUCCCAGGAAAAGUCACCCCAAUCCCAAACCUGAUCCUGAUCCCAGGAAAAAUCAUCCCAAUCCCAGGAAAAAUCAUCCCCAUCCCAAUCCUGAUCCCAAGAAAAGUCAUUUUGAUCCUGAUUGCAGGAAAAAUCAUCCCCAUCCCAAUCCUGAUUCUGAUCCUGAUCCCAGGAAAAGUUAUUUUGAUCCUAAUCCUGAUCCUGAUCCUGAUCCCGGUUCUGAUCCCCAUCCUGAUCCCAUUUCCAUUUCCAAUCCCAGUUCCAAUCCUGAUUCCAAUCCCAAUGCUGAUUCCAAUCCUGAUUCUGAUCCUGAUCCCAGGAAAAGUCAUUUUUAUCCCAAUCCUGAUCCCGAUCCCGAUUCUGAUCCCAGUCCUGAUUCCGAUCACAAUCCUGAUCACAAUCCCAAUCCUGAUCCCAAUCCCGAUUCUGAUCCCAGUUCUGAUUCCAAUCACAAUCCUGAUCACAAUCCCAAUCCUGAUCCCAGGAAAAGUCACUUUGAUCCCAAUCCCGAUCCUGAUCCUGAUUCCAAUCCCAAUCCUGAUUCCGAUCUCGAUUCUGAUUCCAAUUCUGAUCCUGAUACCAGGAAAAAUCAUCUCAAUCCCAAUCCAAAUCCCAACCUCAAUCCCAAUCCCAACCCCGAUCCCAACCCCGAUCCCAACCCCGAUCCCGCUCCUGAUCCUGAUCUCAAUCCCGACCCCAAUCCUGAUCGCAAUCCCGAUCCCAAUCCUGAUUCCGACCCCGAUCCUGAUCACGAUCCCAAUUCUGAUUCCAGUUCUGAUCCUGAUCCCAGGAAAAGUCAUCGAUCCCGAUCCCGACCCCAAUCCCGAUCCCGACCCCAAUCCUGAUCCCAAUCCCGAUCCCAAUCCCAAUCCUGAUUCCGACCCCGAUCCUGAUCACGAUCCCAAUUCUGAUUCCAGUUCUGAUCCUGAUCCCAGGAAAAGUCAUCGAUCCCGAUCCCGACCCCAAUCCCGAUCCCGACCCCAAUCCUGAUCCCAAUCCCGAUCCCAAUCCCAAUCCUGAUUCCGACCCCGAUCCUGAUCACGAUCCCAAUUCUGAUUCCAGUUCUGAUCCUGAUCCCAGGAAAAGUCAUCGAUCCCGAUCCCGACCCCAAUCCCGAUCCCGACCCCAAUCCUGAUCCCAAUCCCGAUCCCAAUCCCAAUCCUGAUUCCGACCCCGAUCCUGAUCACGAUCCCAAUUCUGAUUCCAGUUCUGAUCCUGAUCCCAGGAAAAGUCAUCGAUCCCGAUCCCGACCCCAAUCCCGAUCCCGACCCCAAUCCUGAUCCCAAUCCCGAUCCCAAUCCCAAUCCUGAUUCCGACCCCGAUCCUGAUCACGAUCCCAAUUCUGAUUCCAGUUCUGAUCCUGAUCCCAGGAAAAGUCAUCGAUCCCGAUCCCGACCCCAAUCCCGAUCCCGACCCCAAUCCUGAUCCCAAUCUCGAUCCCGAUCCCAAUCCUGAUUCCGACCCCGAUCCUGAUCACGAUCCCAAUUCUGAUUCCAGUUCUGAUCCUGAUCCCAGGAAAAGUCAUCGAUCCCGAUCCCGACCCCAAUCCCGAUCCCGACCCCAAUCCUGAUCCCAAUCUCGAUCCCGAUCCCAAUCCUGAUUCCGACCCCGAUCCUGAUCACGAUCCCAAUUCUGAUUCCAGUUCUGAUCCUGAUCCCAGGAAAAGUCAUCGAUCCCGAUCCCGACCCCAAUCCCGAUCCCGACCCCAAUCCUGAUCCCAAUCUCGAUCCCGAUCCCAAUCCUGAUUCCGACCCCGAUCCUGAUCACGAUCCCAAUUCUGAUUCCAGUUCUGAUCCUGAUCCCAGGAAAAGUCAUCGAUCCCGAUCCCGACCCCAAUCCCGAUCCCGACCCCAAUCCUGAUCCCAAUCUCGAUCCCGAUCCCAAUCCUGAUUCCGACCCCGAUCCUGAUCACGAUCCCAAUUCUGAUUCCAGUUCUGAUCCUGAUCCCAGGAAAAGUCAUCGAUCCCGAUCCCGACCCCAAUCCCGAUCCCGACCCCAAUCCUGAUCCCAAUCUCGAUCCCGAUCCCAAUCCUGAUUCCGACCCCGAUCCUGAUCACGAUCCCAAUUCUGAUUCCAGUUCUGAUCCUGAUCCCAGGAAAAGUCAUCGAUCCCGAUCCCGACCCCAAUCCCGAUCCCGACCCCAAUCCUGAUCCCAAUCUCGAUCCCGAUCCCAAUCCUGAUUCCGACCCCGAUCCUGAUCACGAUCCCAAUUCUGAUUCCAGUUCUGAUCCUGAUCCCAGGAAAAGUCAUCGAUCCCGAUCCCGACCCCAAUCCCGAUCCCGACCCCAAUCCUGAUCCCAAUCUCGAUCCCGAUCCCAAUCCUGAUUCCGACCCCGAUCCUGAUCACGAUCCCAAUUCUGAUUCCAGUUCUGAUCCUGAUCCCAGGAAAAGUCAUCGAUCCCGAUCCCGACCCCAAUCCCGAUCCCGACCCCAAUCCUGAUCCCAAUCUCGAUCCCGAUCCCAAUCCUGAUUCCGACCCCGAUCCUGAUCACGAUCCCAAUUCUGAUUCCAGUUCUGAUCCUGAUCCCAGGAAAAGUCAUCGAUCCCGAUCCCGACCCCAAUCCCGAUCCCGACCCCAAUCCUGAUCCCAAUCUCGAUCCCGAUCCCAAUCCUGAUUCCGACCCCGAUCCUGAUCACGAUCCCAAUUCUGAUUCCAGUUCUGAUCCUGAUCCCAGGAAAAGUCAUCGAUCCCGAUCCCGACGGGGCUGGAAUUCUGGGCAGGAGCUGGAACUGGGAAUUGGGGUUGGGAUGGGUUUGGGAUGGGGUUGGGAAUGCUGAGCAGGAGGUGGGAAUUGGGGUUGGGAUGGGGGGGGGGGGGGAUGGGUGUGGGAUGGGGUUGGGAAUGCUGAGCAGGAGGUGAGAAUUGGGGUUGGGAUGGGCUGGGAAUGAUGGGAAUGAGCUGGAGGUGGGAAUUGAUGUCAGGAUGGGGUUGGGAAUGAUGGGAAUGAGCUGGAGCUGGGAAUUGGGGUUGGGAUGGGGA